GCUGUACAUUUUAAAAAGCAAAUCACGUUGUUCCAUAUCAUUUUCAAUCUGAAAAAUUUCGGACACACAUAGUCAUGAAUUGCUGAUCGGAUUUUCGGUUAAGUCUGCCAAGUCCUGGUGCUGCUCGGAGAAUUUUGACUCGUCAUCAACCUCAGCCUUCAUGUCAGUCUUCAGUUGGAGCAUUCAUAGCACCUUGUUACUGUGGCAAGCAAAGUUAUAGUUGUACUCUCAAAGAGAAUGGACAAAAAUACUGUGAAUGCUACGAAGGAUACAUUCAAAAGAAUGAAACCUGUGAAGAAAAACAAAACUUAUUGUUAUUCAUACUAUUGUGCAUAACAUCAGGCGUCCUCCUUGUAUCAACAUUAACUUUAAUCAUUGCUAGCCGAAAGUUCAGAGGCAAAGUAAACAAGAGUUAAGCGUAUUUUAUAAUCUUUAAUAUCUGUUUUAUGUUGAAUAAAAUAAAUUUUUAAGUUAAA